AAAAGAUAACUAAGUGCAAGGGAAGAUUCCCUUCGCACAUGAAUGACCAUGGGCUUGCAUCUAGAAAGUUACCCUCCGAGGCACAAGUCCGGGCAAAGUUGUUUAUGGAAGACCAGCAGUCCCCCAUGAAUACCAGCCUUCCCACUCCAUGCUACCAAUGUUAUCCAAAGGAAAGGUAAAAGCCGAUGUAGUUUGGCACCAGUGACGUUGCAACUCAUUUCUACAGCUGAGUGAACUGGAGCAACGUGAAAUAAAGUGAUCUUGCUCAAGA